GUUCAUUGAGGGCAGAAAGGUUCCUGCCGCACCUCAAAGAGAGGUACCUGAGAUGACGAGCUUACUGAACGUCCAAUGAAU
ncrna:unclassified sequences skipping-rope RNA